rnacentral:rRNA from 1 species
GACAGAGGGGGCAAGCGUUGCUCGGAAUCACUGGGCGUAAAGGGCGCGUAGGCGGGAUGGCAAGUCAGUCGUGAAAUCUCUCGGCUCAACCGAGAAACGUCGGCUGAUACUGCCGUUCUUGAGGGAUGCAGAGGAGACUGGAAUUCCCGGUGUAGCGGUGAAAUGUGUAGAGAUCGGGAGGAACACCGGUGGCGAAGGCGGUUCUCUGGGCAUGUCCUGACGCUGAGGAGCGAAAGUGUGGGGAGCGAACAGG